rnacentral:rRNA from 1 species
GUGGGGAUGUGCCCGAAGGUGUGGAAUAACUGUGGGAAAUUACAGCUAAUACCGCAUACGCCCUGAGAAGGGGAAAGAUUUAUCGCCUUUGGAUCAACCCGCGUCAGAUUAGCUAGUUGGUAGGGUAAUGGCCUACCAAGGCGACGAUCUGUAGCUGGUCUGAGAGGAUGAUCAGCCACACUGGGACUGAGACACGGCCCAGACUCCUACGGGAGGCAGCAGUGGGGAAUAUUGGACAAUGGGG